rnacentral:rRNA from 1 species
AUUUGUCUGGUUAAUUCCGAUAACGAACGAGACCUUAACCUGCUAACUAGAUUCUUUUAUUCUUAUAAAAGUUAUCUUCUUAGAGGGACUAUGUAAAACAAAUAUAUGGAAGUUUGAGGCAAUAACAGGUCAGUGAUGCCCUUAUAUGUCCUGGGCUGCACGCGUGCUACACUGAUGCAUACAACAAGUGCCUAACCAGACAUGGCAUGGCAAUCUCGAAUAUGCAUCGUGAUAGGGAUAGAUCUUUGCAAUUACAGAUCUUGAACGAGGAAUUCCUAGUAAGUGCAAGUCAUCAUCUUGCAUUGAUUAUGUCCCUGCCCUUUGUACACACCGCCCGUCGCUCCUACCGAUACCGGGUGAUCCGGUGAACCUUUUGGACUCAUUGAGAAAGAUAAGUAAACCAUAUCACCUAGAGGAAGGAGAAGUCGUAACAAGGUUUCCGUAGGUGAACCUGCRGAAGGAUCA